GGAGCUCCUCUCUGGUGCAUUUGCAGUAGCUCUGACGUGGCUAGCAGAGAUCUACUGCAUCCUGGCUGCCAGCCACCUCCUGGACUGGGAGCUCGUGAUUUAUGGAUGCAGUGACUUGAAACACUCCUGGGCACAGCUCUAGGUGCCUCUAGGUAGCCUGGUAACUUUUAAUGGGAAAAGCUGAGCAUCAGCAGCUCUACAGACAUUGACAACAGAAAGACCUAAAAAAUGCAAGGAAAUGCAGAAUAAGUUGAAGCGAGGAAACAAAAAGGGCUUUGUUUCUGAAAGAAGUUAAAGUGCACUGCAUCUGACAUACAUAGUGCAUAAAUUCAGCUCGAAGAUACGGAACUUGUCAACUUCAGAGUGUGUCUGCAGCAGGUGGAAGUGACACAGCACUGACUUCAGCGCACUUCUGUCACAACAAUGAUGGAACUUGGGCUCAGCUCCACAAACAGUUUUAAAACACUGUUUAUAACAGAUUUGUUCAUAAGUAAUCUCCUCCACAAUGGCAACCCAAAAGAGUAGGAUCUUAAAAUGGAAAUGCUUAAGCAAUUCUAGAAGAAAACUGGUGUAGGAUUCUUAUACUGCGUCAUGUUUCAGAGGGCAAAGGCAGCCAUAUUAACUUUGGGAUCAAGGAUUUUAAGUCUUCAGUUGGAAAGAUAAAUGAUAUUAAUUAGUUACAAAGCACCUCUGUACCAGUGAAGUAUACCAUAAAGAAGAGGUAAAUUAUAUAUCCUUUUGUUGCAGGUUAUAUGUGGUCUUUUAAAACUGAUUCUUUACAAUGGUUACUGACAUAUUGUAUCUGAAGUAAAAGGCAGCAUUUUCAAGGAUAACUGAGUGCAGAGAAUCCAGCCUUUACCAGAUUUCAAUAAUUAAUAAAGUUCCCCGAUUUUUCUUAAAGAAAAUAAUCAGAAGUUAUUAUUUUUAUUUUCUUUUUAAGACAGUGAAGCCAAAAUCAUUGUAUAAAGCACAAAAGUUAGGACAUAUCCUAAUUUAGAAAAUGAGAAUUUUUCAAUAGCUUUUCUUCCUCAGUCUGGCUUUCCUCUAGAUCUUCUUUUUCUCACUUAAUAAAAUACCUCCCCCAAUUGAUCCUCCUGGACCAAACCCAUGUUUGUAUUAUACAUUAUUAAAGUAGUGUCAGACUCAUGAUAUAGUAUGCCUGGGGCUUUGCAGCAGCAUUAUUUUACUUGAUGUUCCUUAAAAAAUACUCAAGGGAUUCUAAGGCAGUAUUAGCUCCUUUUACAAUGCACUACAUAACCUGUUUAGUUGUAUGGUAUUAGAUUACAGAACAAAAUCAAAGGUGGUGAUGCUUCCUACUGUCUACUUUAGAGUUACGUUUUGUAGGCAGGCUUUUCCGUCCCCACAAGAAAGGCCUAAUAUUUGAGAUAUGGUAUACAUUUAUUUAUAUUAAAUUUACCAGUGGGGAAGUCCCACAGAUGAUGGCUAAAGAGAAUAGCUUACUGUUUCCCUGUGAGAGUGGGUACCAAACCUGAAAGUUUCUGAAUUACUCAUGUACCUGCAGCCUCAACCUACUCCUGCUGCAACCUGCUCAAAGGGCAACAUAUACUAAUUUUUAAAUUAAAUCCUGUCUCUCUUCUCAAGGAUUGAAGGUAAAAUAUUCCCGAUGUUUCUGUGUGACAGAAAAGUUUUCAGCUAGAGAGUAAGAUGAUACAAGAAAAGGGCAUGUAUUUAAAUUGCAAAGAUUAAAUGGUGAAUAAAAAUGAUACCACACCAGUCUGCGGGGUGAUGGGUGGGUACCGUGUGCCCGGUGAGAGGACAGAGCUGUGAAAGGAUUGCCUUUUUGACUCGCUCUGUUUGCUGCAGGAGCCAGGAGGAACUCUCCCAGGGGGAAAGUAGGUCCCCUCACAAAAACAACCAAACAUGCUGAAACAGAAACCUGAUUUCUACUAACUUUAUUCUGCUCUCUAAAGAGAACGAGAAAGACUUAAAGGUAGACACUGUGAUACAAAUAAACUGAAGGGCUUCAGGAAGGAGCAGGGGGAAGGUUGGUAGGUAGCCCUCAGAGGCAGAAAGACAGAAUUUUCCCAUGAGAAAAUGGAAAGCAACUUCUGAGGUAGGGGAAAAGCCCUGAAGCAAUAUUCAACCAGUUCUGUACGGCUUAGACUUGCUGAAUCAAGUGAAGGCAGAGUCCCACCAUGCAACAAUAUUCUGUCCAGGCUGUUGUGCAGUCCUUUUGUUCCAAGGUUACACUCUAACAAUCCAUAUUUUCAGCUCAAAAGCUGCUGUGUGCUAGUUGGUAUUCAAGUAUGGAAAAUCAAGGGCCUUUUGGUGACUCAUGUCAUAUUCAAUUUUCAGUAAAUUUCAAUACUGUGACUUACUAGAGAUGUUUCAUGUUAGGAAGACAUCGCUGAAAUUCAUGGUUUACUUGUACUCAGUUGGCGCUGAAAGGUGCAAAACUUAAAAUUAUGCUAAACUUUCAUGUUUGACUGCUGUCUUCAUCCCUGUGUCAACCAGGGGUGAGCUGAGGAAUAAUGGAAUAUUUCCCGUGAACAAGCUACUCCUUUGAAUAGCAGAUGUUAGGUGCUGAUUUCAUAUCAGACACGGAGUUUUCAUCUGUCUGCUAAUACUGCUAGUACUGGAAGUCAGUAUAAGCAGUGAUUUUUGGACUUGAGAUUCCAGAUCUUCUCACCUGGGAACUGAGCAGAAUCAGCCUAAUUACUUAUCAUUUGCAACAAUAGUUACACAAUUGGAUGCUUUUCACCACUACACUUAUCUGGAGCAGACUAAUGUAACUGUGUCAGUUAACCUUUCCUUCUCUCCUCACACUGAAAGUUUAGCAACCCAGAUUAUUACAUAAAAGAGUUAUAAUCACUUUAUCAGAAUAUUAGGUAUGAUGGCCUAGGGCAAAAUUUGUUAAAUCACUGAAUAUGUCUACCAUCUGAUUUUUUCUGCAACAGUGUAUUCUGUUCUAUAAUAAAACAAUAAAUAAAACUAGGUGGGCUUAGUUGGAGUGUUUAUCAAUUCUCUGCUCAGGACAGAUAAACAUUUUAUUGAGCAUAUGAAGACUCAUUACACCCACACAUAAUGAAAAAAAACUCAGGCAUCGUAGAACAUUACAGUUAGCACAUUUUUCUGAAAGGGGAAUAGAUGGAUGACUGGUACCUUGUUGUACAUUUCUCUCUUCACACCUUCUUCCCCAAGUCAGAUUUACAGUAAUAUCCAUUCUGUAAUAAAUUUAUAGUAAUAGAGACAUAUAAUCCAGUGGAAGACUGUGUAUUGCUGUAUUCUUCCCUAGUGUCAUAUGUUGAGGAUUGCUACAAAAGAGCACUAAGAAGAGUGGUAGGUAAGCAAAUAUAAGAUUGUGUUUUGUUUUAACUCUUUUGUCUCCUUUGGGAGUGUUGCAUUCUUGAAAAUCAGAAACUCCAAUCCCUCUCUCUUUUCCUGUAACAAUACCCACAGUUCAGAGAAAACUUGAAGUCCACUAGGACAGGCUCAAAUAUUUAAUCUCAGUUUAUUUUUCUCGAUUUUGGCACCUCAGCAAGGUAUGUCACAUUAUAUUUAAAAUACAAUUUAUUUUCUAGCUAUGCCUUUUAAA